UUUAAAUUAGAAGAUCAGAGGUGAGAAUUAUUAGAAUGUCCUUUCUAAACAUUUACAGGCCAGCUGUAGAUGAGGACUGUGUUUUUCAUUCACGCCGUCACACUGGGAAAAAAACCAAACACUUUAACAUUGCCGUCGUAACUCCUGAGCAUUCGUCUGUUUGGUUUAUUAAGUUAGAAGUUACUGUCUGUGAUAUAACCAAACAAAUAGCUACUGAAGUUGGAACAGCUCUUUCAAUUAGCAUUGUCAUACAAACAAGAACAUUUGCGCUGUGAAUGAGUAAGUGGCUGGUGCAGGCAAGAGGAGCGGCUGCUGUCUGGGGGAGACUGAAGAACGACUGCGACAUUAGGAUGCCGUGCCUGAUGCCAGCUCCCCCCACUCACACACCCUACUCCGAGACUGCAUUGCGUACGCUUUCACAGAUCAGCCAAACACUGUCAGCCGCCAGCGAGGGAAGGAUGACAGGAUGACUGGCGUGCUGCGAGCGCCUGGCUCCUUUCCCUCGCCACAGCCGCAGCACCGGGAGCAGGGAAGCUGGGCCUGGAGGGCUGCACACGCUGCCCCAGGCCUGCUGCCCCAGGCCUGCUGCCCAGCCCCGGCAGCCAGCCCCACCCCAGCGCCGGGACACCCUGGGGCUCACUCCUUCCCCACGGACACAAGGAGGGAGGCCGUGACACUAGGCCAGUGCUGGACAGGGCAGGCAGCCUGGGGGCCCUGGCAGGAACAUCAGCACCUGAGGUUCCUCAGGAGUGCCCAGGCGGGGGUGCCCGGCCGUCUGUGGCACCCAGAGAAAGCUGUGCUGCCGGGCAGGUCACGGCCAGCCUGUGAGGACUGCCCAACCUGCCGGAGCUUUAACGGCAGGGGGAGAGCAGGGUGGUAAUUCUUGAAGGGUGAGUACAGUCUUCCCUUCUUUGAGUCCCAAAGUGUUAAAGAGACUUCCCAGUCUGACCAUUCCCCAGUCCCUCAGGCAGUCCCGCUCCAGACUCACACUGCCAAGAGGUCCCCAGCGGCCUCCCUGCACUCCCCCAGUCACACAGAGCAGGCUUCCUCACCUCUUCUACCCCCGGCCUCCCACAGCAGAGCCUAAAAUAUCCUUGUUCCGUAGAGCUAAUUAUUCACGGUGCAGGAACGGAGAAAGAGCUCGAGCUGGUGCCUCUGAGGAGGGAUCCCAGCAAAGGAACCCCGGGGCUUUUAUCCCCUCCCAGUCCAAGCAGGCCAAAGUCUCGCUUUUCUUCCCCAGUCCUGAGCUGUGUCACUCCCCUGGCUGUGCCACAGGUCCCUGUGCUUUUUGUCAUGCAGAGGGUGACAGUUCUUCUUGCCUUGGGCUCCCAGAGCUCCACCUGCAGCUUGCAGACAGAGACACCUGCACCAAAUCAACACAUGCAAAACUCCAGUGGCACAGCUUUGAAUCUCUUUGUAAAUAAUGACACUGAGGAAAAGCAACUACACUGAGUUUCAAUGAAAGUAGACUUCGCUUAUCAGAGAGAAAAAUAAGGAAAAAAAGUUUUUGUUCCACUUACGACAUGUGAGAAUCCAUGAGAGAAGCAGGAGUCUAUGUCAAGACUGUGCAAAUGCAAAGUUUUCAUUAAUGUGAUUUUAUCCCUCACUAGGAGGAGAAACCUGGUCAUUUAAGAGAAGCCAAUUUGUGUUUUUCACUGGAGACGGUACAAAGCCCACGUGGCAUCUGCCCACUGCUCUGCGUGACUUCUGGAACAUUUCAAAUCAUUGUCCUGAACAGCCUACUGAAGUGAGCACAGUCAUUGGAUUGAGCACUAACUUCCACUUCUUUAGCAAACUGUGGAGUGUAAAACCACACACUACCAAUUAGUGACAACAGAUGUGACUAAAACUUCAAAAAAUCUUACAAGAAGUGGCCUUUAGAUAAUAAAAAUGGUUUGAAAUAUCUGAGUCAGAUAUAACAGAUGACUUUUCUGCACCCCUUUUCUGCCCACUUGCUGUGUAUGCAUUACUGAGCUGCCAUCAUUAAUUCAAUUUGCACAUACAAGAACAAAAAUAUUAAAAAUACUAAUUAUUAACAAAUUCCCUGCUCAAAAGCUCAGGUCUUCUUCCCACAUGCCAAAAAAUUACUUAAGAGUAUAUCCUUCAAGAACUGUUCUUCCUGCCUAAAAAAAAUGUUCUUGUGCUUUCAACAAAGAAGUUCCAGUGCAUUUUCCAGUCAGGUGUCUAAUGGGCACAUGGACACAGAAAGCAAAUUCUGCAAGGCAUGGAACCGACUCAUCCUAUCCACCACAUCUUCCUGCACUAAACUUCACAGGUAAUGGGAUAAGUAAACCUCUGGAUACAAAACUCAUGAAAGAGCAUGUUCUCCUUUUUCUGAACAGAAUGUGUACCUGGGUCUCCCUUGUUAAUACCAGGUUGUUAUAACUCUGUCUGUACAAACACAGGCUGUUAGCUCUAGCUGCAAAUAUUCUUACUAGCUGGAAGAGUCUGGCCUAGUGCAAGAAAAGCUGUUUAUUGUUUCUUCACCUAGCCUGGCAGCUCUGCCAAAUUACUUGCACUCAGGGUAUCUGCAGAUAGGUGUGAAAGCAAUUACAGAGAUACCUAGUCUAUUCUGGUCUUUUCUCUCCUCAAAAUUUAUCCAUUUCAAAAACCUAAGUAAAGGCUUGGAACAAGUAAUAUGCUGGGCUUCAAAACACGUCUCAUUUUCCCUAUCAGUAACACAGAAGUUGCAAGAAAUCUGGUGCUCCUCAGGAAUAGCAACAGAUAAAACUAUAAUUUUUUGCCACAUUUCAUCCCAUCAUUAUUUCUUUCUCAAGAAUGACAAGAAGAAAGGGAUUUCCUUCUGGUUUGUCAGAAGAUUGCUUCUUGCAGUUGGUAGAAAACCAGCAGAUAUUUUGUUAAAAACACUUGGUGCAGAGUAGACCUGAGGACCAUAUGGUUUAUUGCAAAAGAUUCUCUCUGACACAUCCUCCUCAAAUGUCAGUAUUGUUAUUCUGUGGCAGGGAUCAAUAAUCUCUCUGUGAAGGGAGAUACCUUCCCAGUGAGGCCCAGGUGCUUAAGAAUCUAUGAUUAGCUAGGAGAACAAGGACUGGAGAAAGCUGUUCUGGCAGAUUUGGAAUCCAAUACUGAAAACUCCCCUAGAAGCAGCUGCCAGCCCUUUAAUGAAACUCACAGCAGUGACUCCUGAGCUGAGACACUGCAGAGUGCCUCCAUACCCACAGAGAGUACAGCUGCCACAGCUGUGAAGCAUCCUUAAGUUCCUCCUGCAGGUCCUCACCCAGAUUUUAGAGAACCCACAAGAAGUUUCUGAAUCUGAACAUGAAAAUGGGGUGUCUGUAGCACCUCUGGACAUCUGAUAACCUUGAAGUGAACAUGACUGCUGUAUUAUGGGAGAGAUGAUUCUCCUCAUCACACCUGUCUUUCUUGACAGAAACAACAGAAAUAAUCUUCUAAUGAAGAUUAUCUCAUCUUCUCUUCAGCUAUAUUUUCUUACUUGCAAAUGAGGAUAGGGUAAUUCCAAACAUCACAAUUAAACAACACUGACUGCAAAAUCCAAAUACUUCCAACUGCUUCAGAUGUCAGUUUUCCUCCUCAGCCUACAGACCCUGGAGCCAGGAGUUUUUUAGAUCACUGUCAAAUCCAAAACGGACAUUUACUAAAUGCAAGCAGGCCACAGAUAAAGCCAGAACAUUUUGCAGAAAAAGAAAAAUUGAAUCAAGCUGCAUAGAAGUAAGUGGGUUUAUCAACUCUUACAGCAAUUGCAAAGAAGAAACUGUCUAACAUGUAUGACCUGAAAAAGAAAAUUAAUUUAUAAAGGCUUUACACAUUUUUACAUGGUACAAAACUUGCCCCCUAAAGCUAACAGUAACAGUUUGAAGUGAAUUGCAGGAUAUAAUAGAAGCCUUAAAAUCACAGGGAAUUUUUCAAAUGCUGCCUUUGGAAAUAAUACCUUGUAAAUAUAAUUACUUACAGUUGGAAUACCUCAAGUUCAUUGAGAUUUUUUUGACUGUUUUUUUUAAAUUUGCAUCUAUUAAUUUUGCUUGAGUCACCAUUAACAUGACAGCAUUCCUUCUUUGUUGGGUCUGCAGAACAGACCUCCCUUAGUAUCAGAGCACAUGCUGCUCUCAGGGACAGCAAUCCUUCAUGGGGACCUGGAGUUCUGGCUGCUCCAGAGCAGAUAAAGGAGUAAGUUCCAUUCUCUCUCUCACCUGAGCUCUGCCUCAAGGAAAAUGUCCCAGCCUGUAUGGCUGCUUACAUCAGAAGGUCUUUUCAUGUCUUUGAAAUUAGUCUUAAACUCUCUAUAUUGAGAAAUGGACAAUUAACAAUCUGGUAUAACAAUUCUUAGGUUAUUUCAACCAUUCUUUCCAAAAGCAAACUGUAUUUCAGACUGAUUUCAGCAUGAGGCUUUUUCAAUACUUCCAUCCAAACCCUUUCCCUUAUUAGACUACUUGUCCUGUUAACUGUUUACAAAUCACCUGCACUGAAGGCAUCCUUUGCUGUACAUUCCCAUCCCAGCAGUGAGAAAAGCUCACCCAAGCCUUUCUAGACCUUACUGACAUUUCAGUUAUUAGCACAAUGCAAAGGCAGUUAUUAAGAUUUAGUCAGGAGACAAAUUGCUGGCUAUAUACAUGCAGAUUUCUGCAAGCUAUAUACAAAGAGAUUUCUAUCUGUCUGUAUAAAUACGAGGGAUUUAUUUGUUCCAAAAGCUUGCAAAUCUUGAUUACCCUGACUCUGCCACAGAGGCUGGACAUGUGUGAGGAUUUGUAGUCUAUCCUCAGUAAACACAAAGUUAACUAAAGCAGCUCAGACAAGAUCUUUUAUUUGAUGGCAGAGAAGUAAUCUUGGCUGCAACACAAUGUAUACAAUCUUGAAUCACUACAGGGAUCUUAUCACCCCACUCCUUUCAUCAUCUGCAUGUUUUAACUGCAGCCAGCCUGUAACCCCCUUCCUCCCUCCUCCACUGCAGUGUCCUGUCAUCUUACAGUGCACACAGCCAGCGCCGCUGUUUGAGAAAGGCAUGGCCAGAUCUCUCACUCAUCUCUGCCUCCUCAAACAAGCUGUGGAAAUCAUCCCUCUAAAUCCUCCCUGAUCUCCUUGUGGUGAUCUUGCUUCCAGAGCUGUUCAAACAUAUGGGCAGCAAUCAGGCCAUAUCCAACCUCACAUUCACCAGGAAUGUUUCCAACAGCUCAGUGUCCCCUUUCUGCCUGUCAUUUCAAUUUAUACAUAUGCUUGCCUGUAAUUUCAAUCUAUACAUGUCAUUCCCUUGAGGAAUUAUUACCCUGCUGAAGUGGAAAUUCAUAUCUGUAUACGUUAGAAAAAUAACACUGCGACAGUGAAUGUGAAAAUCCCUGCAUGAUAAAUCCUCCAUGUCGCUUGCAAGAAAUACCGUAACUCAUAGAGCAAAAUGAAAAUAUAUUACAUAGAAGCAAGAAAGUACCUAUAAAAUUAGAAGGGAGAUUCUCAGAUUUCAGGUGCUUUCAUUACGGAACAAUGUUUCACUGCUCACUGAAGUAAACAGAUAUAUAGUAUUUUUUAAGCAUUUCUGAGAAAUUUUCACUGGAUGAUCAAGACACUUGAAAACACAUUUAAGGAAAUAUACCUUGUAGAAAAGCGAUUUCUGGUUUGGUCACUUCUAGAAGCUGCAGCAGUUGCCCUAGUUGACUUCCACUAACUUUAUUGCCAUUCAGUGAGAACUGCAUGACAAAAUUUGUAGAGAAAACCAUAGUGCUGACAGAGAAGAGUAAUUAGUGACUGAAACCAAGUUAGGCAGGAGCCUUAUGCUGUCACUAUUCAAGCUCAAGGAAUAUUUACAGAGAAUGAAUGCACACACCAAGAAUUAUUGCUGUAUUUCCCAGUGAACACAUACAAGAUUAAACAUACAAGGAAAGCUUUUGAGAGAGCAGGAGCUUCAAAGGAAUAGAGCAGAAAUGAAGUUUAUUUGUUGCAGUAAAAGUCAACACUGCAUGCAAGAUACCUUAGACCCACUACUUUUUUCCUGAUUUUAUUGGGAAACACUGCCAAUGGGUAAAGAAAUAGUGAACAUAAGGCCUAAAUUCUGAACACAGGAUUUAAAGACCUGAUUAAAAGAGAAUUAAAGUAUUUCUAUGAGGAAAAGAAUUCUGUUAGUUUUGCUGAAAUGACAGACUGAUAGAUUAGAAUACAUAAAAGUAUACAUAUAUAUAUAGUACAAAUAUAUAUACUUGUAUUUAUAUGUAGCUAUAUAUAUGCAGACUGCAAACAGUCAAAAACAUUCAGAGAUCUACUCUGUAUUUCAUAUAUGAAUAUAUAUGCUUAUCUAUAUACAGUGAAAAGUUAGUCCUGAUAAGCAGUUCUGUUUAUUCUUUUAUGCCGACUAUUAGCCUAAUUUCAAUUACAGCUUGAAAUAUAAACUAUAUAGCAGCAAAAAGAAUAAAUGUGGUUUUAGGCAAAACCAAGUACUCCAAGUUAUCCUAAAAACACUUCACCCACUGUCCCACCAACAUGGCAAUUUAUUUGUGUUGUACCGUGGACUCCUCAUUGGACAUUUGUGAAUUUAUGAAAAUACAAAAGCCUGCUUGUAACUCAUGAGCAAUGGUGAAUAUUAUUCUUUUUACACUGCCAUUUCCAUUUAUUCUUAUGGCUUGUAAUUUCUGUGAAUAUCUAAAUUUACUCUGUAUUCCCUGUACAGGUAGCAAUUGCCAAGCUAACCUUAUCUGCUUCUACAGGUUUUAUUAUUCAUAUUUCUAGCGUCAUAUGACAACUUCUAUCUAUUUUCAAGUUGCAUACUGGUUUUUGUAUCUUAUCUGCAUGUGUGAUACAGAUUCAUUUUACCUUCCAAAUAGAAGCAAUAUAAACUUGUCUUCCUCAUAUAUAUGGAUACUCAAAUAGAGGCAAGAUAGCUUCAAGUGCUGGUAGUGUCAUUAAAUUCAGCUAUGUUAUCAAGAGCAGAUGUUCAGAAUACAAGGAUCCCUAAUGUCUCUGGGGUUUUUUUUCCAACAAAACGUGUUUUCCUUAAAUUACAAAAUGAAACUCCAAGGUAUACAGUGAUAAAUGUUUCAAACCCUAAAUACUGUAGAGUUAAAGGUGCCCCAUAUGAUGUGAAACUUCUCGAUUUGUCAUCAUUUAUUGUGAUAUCUCUAAUCACACUAUUAACUGGAUUCAGCAAAAUCACUCAAGCUUUUAGUGUUCUGAAAGCCUAAACAAAUGGAUUAGCAUGAAAAAAUUGCACCAGAAAAAAAAAAAAAA